UACGGAGGGUGCGAGCGUUGUCCGGAAUCACUGGGCGUAAAGGGUGCGCAGGCCGCGCGGGCAGUCAAAUGUGUAAUCCAGGGGCUCAACCCCUGAACUGCGCUUGAUACUUCCGCGCUCGAGCUUUGGAGAGGAGUCUGGAAUUCUCGGUGUAGCAGUGAAAUGCGUGGAUAUCGAGAAGAACACUUAGGGCGUAGGCAAGACUCUGGACAAAUGCUGACGCUCAUGCACGAAGGCUAGGGUAGCGAACGGG
rnacentral:rRNA from 1 species